rnacentral:lncRNA from 1 species
AAAUCACAUGGUGGCUACAUGUCACCGACCAGCAGUGACACCUGAAUAUCACCUGAGAGAAGGCUGGCGAGAGAGAGACAGAGCGACACGGAGAAGGACACCAAGUCUUCUACAUGCUGAUCAAAGUGUCGAUUUAAUGGACGUCAGGUUAACACUUAAAUCAUAG